rnacentral:rRNA from 1 species
GACAGAGGAUGCAAGCGUUAUCCGGAAUGAUUGGGCGUAAAGUGUCUGUAGGUGGCUUUUUAAGUCCUCCGUCAAAUCCCAGGGCUCAACCCCGGACAGGCGGUGGAAACUGACAAGCUGGAGUACGGUAGGGGCAGAGGGAAUUUCCGGUGGAGCGGUUAAAUGCGUAGAGAUCGGAAAGAACACCAACGGCGAAAGCACUCUGCUGGACCGAUACUGACACUCAGAGACGAAAGCUAGGGGAGCGAAUGGG